GCCCCUUUAGCUCAGUUGGUAGAGCACCACAUCGGUAAUGUGGAGGUCUGCAGUUCGAUUCUGCAAAUGGGCU
rfam:Treponema sp. JC4 contig00004, whole genome shotgun sequence.